ACGAACGCUGGCGGCAGGCCUAACACAUGCAAGUCGAACGCCGUAGCAAUACGGAGUGGCAGACGGGUGAGUAACACGUGGGAACCUUCCCGAUGGUACGGAAUAGCUCAGGGAAACUUGGGGUAAUACCGUAUACGCCCGCAAGGGGAAAGAUUUAUCGCCAUUGGAUGGGCCCGCGUCGGAUUAGCUAGUUGGUGAGGUAAUGGCUCACCAAGGCGACGAUCCGUAGCUGGUCUGAGAGGACGAUCAGCCACAUUGGGACUGAGACACGGCCCAAACUCCUACGGGAGGCAGCAGUGGGGAAUAUUGGACAAUGGGCGAAAGCCUGAUCCAGCCAUGCCGCGUGAGUGAUGAAGGCCUUAGGGUUGUAAUGCUCUUUUAGCGGGGAAGAUAAUGACGGUACCCGCAGAAUAAGCCCCGGCUAACUUCGU
rnacentral:rRNA from 1 species